rnacentral:rRNA from 1 species
GACGAACGCUGGCGGCGUGCUUAACACAUGCAAGUCGAACGGAAAGGCCCUGCUUUUGUGGGGUGCUCGAGUGGCGAACGGGUGAGUAACACGUGAGUAACCUGCCCUUGACUUUGGGAUAACUUCAGGAAACUGGGGCUAAUACCGGAUAGGAGCUCCUGCUGCAUGGUGGGGGUUGGAAAGUUUCGGCGGUUGGGGAUGGACUCGCGGCUUAUCAGCUUGUUGGUGGGGUAGUGGCUUACCAAGGCUUUGACGGGUAGCCGGCCUGAGAGGGUGACCGGCCACAUUGGGACUGAGAUACGGCCCAGACUCCUACGGGAGGCAGCAGUGGGGAAUAUUGCACAAUGGGCGGAAGCCUGAUGCAGCAACGCCGCGUGCGGGAUGACGGCCUUCGGGUUGUAAACCGCCUUCACCUGUGACGAAGCGUGAGUGACGGUAAUGGGUAAAGAAGCACCGGCUAACUACGUG